CAAAGCUGAACAAAGCAAGCAAACAAUCCCAGACAGCUGCCGCUGCUGCAGACUGCACACUGGGCAGGGUGCUUCAGAUGGAAUGUGAGACAAUGGGAAAGAAAAGAGAAAUGGAUCUUGAGCUGUGUGAACUGAGUGCAGAAGAGAAGGAGCUGAAAAGGCAAAUGGAAACUCUGGGACAACUCAGCACCCAGAGGCUCCGAGAGCAGGACAUUCAAGAAGAAGAAGAAGAAGAAGAAGAUGAAGAAG